rnacentral:rRNA from 1 species
GACGAACGCUGGCGGCGUGCUUAACACAUGCAAGUCGAACGGAAAGGCCCUGCUUUUGUGGGGUGCUCGAGUGGCGAACGGGUGAGUAACACGUGAGUAACCUGCCCUUGACUUUGGGAUAACUUCAGGAAACUGGGGCUAAUAACGGAUAGGAGCUCCUGCUGCAUUGUGGGGGUUGGAAAGUUUCGGCGGUUGGGGAUGGACUCGCGGCUUAUCAGCUUGUUGGUGGGGUAGUGGCUUACCAAGGCUUUGACGGGUAGCCGGCCUGAGAGGGUGACCGGCCACAUUGGGACUGAGAUACGGCCCAGACUCCUACGGGAGGCAGCAGUGGGGAAUAUUGCACAAUGGGCGGAAGCCUGAUGCAGCAACGCCGCGUGCGGGAUGACGGCCUUCGGGUUGUAAACCGCUUUCGCCUGUGACGAAGCGUGAGUGACGGUAAUGGGUAAAGAAGCACCGGCUAACUACGU